AAAUACAAUAUAAUAAUAAUAGUAUAAUAAAUAAAUACUAAAAUUGGAUUGUUAUACGUGUUCCAGAUGCGCCUUAGUCAACUGCGAUGUACCACUGGUAAUUAAAACAAAUGCUCAAGAUUAAAACGUGAGAGAAGGAUCCUAUGGUUCCAAAGCAGGAAAAGUCAUCAUCGGAGCCCGAGCUUCGGUCAUCUUUCCUGGUGAGCCUCACCGGACUGGUUAAC
rnacentral:lncRNA from 1 species